rnacentral:rRNA from 1 species
GAUGAACGCUGGCGGCGUGCCUAAUACAUGCAAGUCGAGCGAACGGACGAGAAGCUUGCUUCUCUGAUGUUAGCGGCGGACGGGUGAGUAACACGUGGAUAACCUACCUAUAAGACUGGGAUAACUUCGGGAAACCGGAGCUAAUACCGGAUAAUAUUUUGAACCGCAUGGUUCAAAAGUAAAAGACGGUCUUGCUGUCACUUAUAGAUGGAUCCGCGCUGCAUUAGCUAGUUGGUAAGGUAACGGCUUACCAAGGCAACGAUGCAUAGCCGACCUGAGAGGGUGAUCGGCCACACUGGAACUGAGACACGGCCCAGACUCCUACGGGAGGCAGCAGUAGGGAAUCUUCCGCAAUGGGCGAAAGCCUGACGGAGCAACGCCGCGUGAGUGAUGAAGGUCUUCGGAUCGUAAAACUCUGUUAUUAGGGAAGAACAUAUGUGUAAGUAACUGUGCACAUCUUGACGGUACCUAAUCAGAAAGCCACGGCUAACUACGUG